AGACGACUCUCGGCAACGGAUAUCUCGGCUCUUGCAUCGAUGAAGAACGUAGCGAGAUGCGAUACGUGGUGUGAAUUGCAGAAUCCCGUGAACCAUCGAGUCUUUGAACGCAAGUUGCGCCCGAGGCCACUCGGCCGAGGGCACGCCUGCCUGGGCGUCACGCCCCCGUUCGCUCCCUCAAGGCACGCCCUGCCUCGGGGAUGCGGAGAUUGGCCGCCCGUUGCGCGAAUCGAAGGCGAGCGGUUGGCCCAAAUGCAGGUCAAAGUGCGGUGCGGCACGACGCGCGUUGGUUUAGUCGCGCGGCUGAUCGCUGGUCGGUCGCCGCGCCCGUGUCAUGCCGCUCGCGGUGCGACCCGUGGGACGCAACUUGCCCGCUGCGGCGGGCACUCGGACCGCGACCCCAGGUCAGGCGGGACCACCCGCUGAGUUUAAGCAUAUCAAUAAGCGGAGGAGAAGAAACUUACGAGGAUUCCCCUAGUAACGGCGAGCGAACCGGGAGCAGCCC
rnacentral:rRNA from 2 species